UGGCACGAUCAGGUUCAGCACCAAGAGGACACUGAACCCUUAUUAGGAGAAUAAGGCAGCCGGCUCGCCGCGUUCCCGCGCCUGAGACUCCCGGACGCGCCGCCCCGCCCCGCCCCGCCCCUCGGCGCGCCGCCCCGGGCUCCAGGGCGCACGCGCAGGCGCCAGCCGGCGCGGCGGGCGCGCGGCCGCGGCCGUCCCCUCCCCCACUCCCACUGCGCCGGAGGGGAAUCCGUCACCGCGGCUGCUCAGGCCGCCGCGGUCGGUCGUAGCCAUGGACUCUUCGUGGGAGGAUCUGACGCUGGCCUUCUCCCGCACGUCCAUGUUCCCCUUUUUUGACAUCGCCCACUAUCUGGUGUCCGUGAUGGCGCUGAAGCACCGGCCGGGUGAGUGUGGGCGCUGCGGACCCGCCCCCUCAGCUUCCAGUCUCGGGGAUGACUGACUCGGUCCAGGGGCAACCGGGGGCCGCUGUCCGGGAAGGAUCCGAUAGUCUAGUGGGAGGGCGCCCUGAAACUGCCUGGCUGACCCCCCCUUUAGUACAGAAGGAAAACUGAGGCCGGGAGGGCGGAGGCCGGGUACUAGACCGUGGAGGCUAGGCGCCGCUUCCGUGGCUUGCGGGGUUGGCGGGGCUCCCGGGCCGGUGCGGAAGCCGCUGCCGCGCUGUCGGUCUCCUGGUGGUACCAGCGCUUCCCUGGACGGUGUUUCAAAGUCACCGGAGAGCUAAGCUCCCAGUCCCCGCACGUCUCCGACCUAGCCUCCGGGAGUAAACAGGUGGUCCUUGCCUGUUGGGAAAGUUGUGCAAACACGUGAGCCGCAGGCCUCCUCCCGGUGGGCAUACCGAUGUUCUCCUUAACGCGGUGUCCUUCUUGACACCUGCUCAGCACGUUAGGAUGACUGUCAGAAGCCAGUGCUUCCUGUUUUCAUUGUCACCAGUGACUUUUGUACAAGUGAGAGCCGCUGGGCAUCUAGUUUCACACGACUCUGUGGAGUGGGGAUGUGGUCUUGUGGUUUGAAGACCUUUGGAGCUGUUAACCAAGGAGCAGUAUUUCUAUUUUCUAUCUUAAAUUCAGGAUAUUUGCUCCUAUAUUGCUUUACUUUUGUUGUUAUUCCACCUUCCCUUUAUAUUUUGUGCAUCUCUUCUUUCAAGAGGCCAAGCAUUUCUGUCCAUUUUCCAUGCGUUCAUACCAUCUUUAAUCCGCCUUGUUCUACAAAUAGUUGAUUAGUGAAGAUUUGAGGUUGAUGCUGUAUCUCUCCUAGAUAUUACUGGUUGUCUCAAUUUUUGGAACUUAGAGUAUUUUUUUUUUUUUUAAACUUAUAUUGGAGUUUGUAACUCAGUCUGAAUCAAUUGUUUGGUAGAGAUUUUGACCUGGACAAGGGUAGUAUUACUAUACUAAUUAAUGUAGGAUAGAUAAUCUGUAUACGAUACUGCUUCCUUAGUCUGAAAGGAAGUACAUUUUGUUACUGCCCCAUACUCAGAAUUUGAUAUUUUCUUGCAUUGGGUAAAAGGUUCUCAAAGUAUGGUUGAGGAAUCCACAGGGUUCUCUGACACUAACUUGUUAAAAUUAUAUUCACAAUAAUAUUCAGGUAUUAUUCAUUUUUUUCACUGUGAUUUUUUUACAUGUGUACAGUGGAGUUUUCUAAAGACUACAUGACUUAUAAAUUGUGAUACUGUAAGAGAUUGAAGAGUAUAAGAAUCUUGCCAGCUGUUUUCUGUUUGAAGCCAGACAUUAAGGAUUUGCUACAACAGAAAACAGUGUACUUUUUCUCACUGAUUGAUUUUAGCUUUGGAAAAAAAGUCAUUUUUCACAAAGAAUCUGUUAACAUUUAGUGCAUUUAUUAUUUUUAAAAUGAAUAUAGAACCCCCCCCCUUUUUUUUGGUGGUGGUAAUAGGGAUUGAAUCCAGGGCCUUGAAGGUGUUAGGCAGGUGCUCUACCAUUGACCUUGUGUCUUUAGCCCAUAAAGAACUAUUCUCUCAGUUACAAUUUGAUACUUGUAACCCCCAUGAACAAAAGUUCUUUGGGGUUCUCAGGAAAUGUUUGAAGGGCUGGGGUUGUUGCUCAAUGGUAAGCUCACCUGGCAUGUGUGAGGCACUGGGUUCUAUCCUCAGCACCACUUAAAAAUAAAUAAAAUAAAGGUAUUGUGUCCAUCUACCCUCCCCCCCACAAAGGUUUUGAAGUCAGUUAUUUUUAAAGGUAUAAUUUAUAUACAGUAUAUUUUUUUUUGAGAGAGAUUUUUUUUAAAUAUUUAUUAAUUUUUUUUAGUUUUUGGUGGACACAACAUCUUUAUUUUUAUAUGUUGCUGAGGAUCGAACUCAGUGCCCUGCGCAUGCCAGGGAGGGCGCCCUGAAACUGCCUGGCUGACCAAUGAGUUUAUACCGCUUGAGCCACAACCCCAGCCCAGUAUAUUCUUUUUUAAUAUAAAAAUUUAACAUUAUCAUAUAUAAAAUAUAUUAAUUUUAAUAUAAAGUUCUAUGAUUUGGAAAAUAGUCUUAUAACCACCAUUACAAUCAAGAUGUAGAACAUUUUGUUCACCUACCCCAGAUUUCCUUCUGCUCCUUUGUAGACAGUCCUCCUUCAACUCCUGGCAACUAUUCAUUAGCUUAAAAUUUUUAGUGUAUAAAGGGGUCAGAGUCCCCCAAAGUCUGAGAAUUACUUGGAUAAAUGAAUGCUAAUAUAGUGUUAUAUAGAGAGUAACAAAUAUUUUUUUCUAGUACCAGUCCUUGUAAAGAGGUAAAAAUGAUAGAAUUCACAUGAGUGUACCUGUUUAUACUUUCCCUGGAAAUGUGUUAGACUCCUUAUUUCCUUUGACAUUGUUGACUAUUUUCAGUCCUCAGUACCUUGUCAUUUUCAUGAUCAGAAAACAGUUUUCAUUUGCAUUUGUCAGGGUUACUAAUGAGUUUAUACUUCUUAGGUUUAUUGAACACUUGUAUUUCAUGGCUGUAAGUUUCUUAAUAUCUUUUGACCAUUUUUUUUCUAUUGGGUUGUAGGUUGUUGUCUAAUUGAAUUAAUUUUCUUUAUGUAUCAUGGGUGGCUAAUUGAAUUUGUUUUCCUCCAAGACCUUUAUUAAGCCUCUAGACUGUCUGUAAUUUUGCUUAUUUUCUUUAUUUAGCCUUUCAGUUUUUCUGAGUUACUGAAAUCCUUCAAGUGAAUUCUUUUUGGCUUAAGUUUGUCAUAGGUUUUUUUUUUUUUUUUUGUUCGUUUGUUUGAUUUUUACUUGUAGCCAAGAACCCUGUAUUUUAUAGCCUCUAUAUUGAGGAGUAUUGAUAUAAAGUGUUUAAUACUGGUGAUUAUAGUGAGUGGCUUUGUUCUCAUGAUUUUAAUGAGAAUAUUUUUAAAGUUUCAUCAAAUGUGGUGUUUUACUGUAGGGUUUUAAGAGGCAUAGUUAACAGUUUUAUUUUAAUCUUAACUUUCUAGGUUGUCCCUAUAUCUUUAUCACCGUCCUGGUGGAGAAGGUGACAAAUUUUGUUAAUGAUCACCCCCCCCAAAUCCAUUGAGAUGAUCAUUUGUAUUGGUUUUUCUAUUUAAAAAUGUAAUGGGCAUGGUAGCUUAGGCUUGUAAUCCCAGCAAUUCUGGUGGCUAAGGCAGGAGGAUUAUAGGUUAAAGAAUAGCUUGGGCAAUUUACCAGGACCUGUCUCAAAAUUAAAAAGAGCUAGCGAUAUAGUUCACUAGUAGAGCACCCUGGGGUCAAUCACCAUUACUAAAAGGGGAAAAAAUGUAGUGAAAAGAUAUUCAUAGAUAUUUAAAAAAUGAUGAACCAUUCCUAUAUUUUAGGAAUAAACUUUACUUGUUUGAUGUAUUUAGUUUUCAGGAAUUUUGAUUGCUAGUACUUUAUUUAAACUUUUUGUAUUUAUGUUUAUAAUGGGAAUUUGCCCAUCAAAUCUUUUUCUACUUUGGGUAUCAAGGUUAUGCUGUUUUUGUAAAAUAGAUUGGGAAGCUUUCCACUAUUUUAUAUUUAUUAUUUAUUUUUAGCUCAAGAUAGUUUAUUUAAUAGGCAUUCCCUAUACUUUUUUUUUUUUUUGGAGAGGGGGUGGUACUGGGGAUUGAACCCAGUGAUGCUUUAUUAUUGAGCCAUGUUCCCACCCUUUUUUAUUUUUUAUUUUGAGACAGGGUCUCCAUAAGUUGCUUAGGGCCUCAUUGAGUUGCUGAGACUGGUUUUGAAUUUGCGAUCCUCCUCCAUCAGCCUCCUGAGCUGCUGGGAUUACAGGCAUGCAUGCACCACCAUGCUUAGCGCAUUACUUAUUCCUAGGUAUUUGUUUUAGUCAGCUUUUUCAAUGCUGUGACCAAAAAAUUUGACAAGAACAAUUUUAGAGGAGGAAAGUUUAUUUUUGCACUGAUUGUUUCAGAGGUCUCAGUCCAUAGAUGUGUGACUCCAUUCCUCAGGGACCAGGUGAGCCUGAAUGGGAAGAGUAUGGUGGAGGAAACUUUCACUCAGGACAUGGCCACUAAUAAGCAAAUAGAGAGACUCCACUCUCCAAGGACAAAAUAUAUACCCAAAGGCACUCCCAGUGACCCACUGCCUCCAGCCAUACCACCCUAUACCUGCCUAAAGUGACAGGUAGUUAAUACUUAUUAGGAUUCAUCAUGGUGUAGGUUAAGACUCAUAAUCCAAUUAUUUCACCUCUAAGCUUUUUGUGUUCUUACACAUGAGCUUUUGGGGAACAGUGUUUAUGUAAACCAUAAACAGUAUUCAAUAGACUUAAAAUAUGAAGCGGUUUCUUGGUCCAUUUUAAUGAGUAAAUCUUUUUUUUUUUUAAUAAAAAAAUUCAGUCUUAAGUCAUUUUUGGCAAUUUACAUUUCUCUCAGGAAUCAUUUGUUUCCUUUAAAUUUUGAAGUGUAUUGGAGUAAAUGUGAACAUUAUUUCUAGAAAAUUUCUCUGGAUUCGUUAGUAGUUGAUUCUUUAAAAAUUUUUUUAAUGUAUAUAUAUUUUUAGCUGUAGUAGGACACAAUACCUUUAUUUUAUUUAUUUAUUUUUUUAUGUGGUGCUGUGGAUGGUACCCAGCGCCUUGCAUGUGCUAGGUGAGCGUUCUACCGCAGAGCCACAACCCCAGUCCCUAGUAGUUGAUUCUUAAAUGUUAUACACUUUAAUUUGACUCUUCUGGAUCUUUUUUUCUUAUGUCCAGUGAUAAAUUUUUAUAGCCUCUGAUUUACCUUUUUUUUCUUCUAACUCAUUUAGAUUAAGAUAUGUUUGUCCAGAUUCUUGUUGUUAGCAGCAAGUAGCUUAUAUGUUCUCUUUAUAUGUGGUCAGCUAGACUUUUUCAUAUUUAGAACUGAAGAGUGGAUAUGUGGUACUUCCAGUCCAAUGCCUAGUUUCUCUUAGUUUUACUUAGUAUAUAUAUAUAUGCUCUGCUUAACUGGCAACUUUUCUUAUCCCCCAGAGACUGAUUGUCUAGAACUCAGAUCUAUAGUAGUAUAAUAAAUCUACAGUUCAUGUAUGUGCUGCUCUCAGGAUUCUUAUCUCUAUACUUUCAAACAUGUUACUUUUUGAGACUUAAUUUUGAAAUAUUUUCUAUCUUUGCUAAUACCUCACUCCCCAAUUUUUUAUCCUUUAUAUCUUAUCAUUGUAGUUUCUGCCUAGAGCAUAAAAAUUCUAGUGGAGGCUAGAAGGAAAAGGGGAUUAACUCUUUAUACCUGAGGUUUGGAGACGGUUAUACCUCGUAUUUGUUUGGUUUAGAUUUUGAAGUGUAUUGGAGUAAAUGAAAUGAAAGAUAAUUCUCCCAUUUCUCCACUGUGUGAUUUUUUAAAAAAUUUAAAACAACAUUUUUUUAGUUGUUGAUAGAACUUUAUUUUUCUUUGUUUAUAUGUGGUGCUGAGAAUUGAACCCAGUGCCUCACACAUGCUAGGUAAGUGCUCUACCACUGAGCCAUCACCCCAGCCUCCAUCCACUUUGUGAUUUCUACUUCAUAAACAAAGAUGUAAAACACAGGGUAUGAAUUGGAUUUUUUUCCCCUUAGUUUACCUCCAUUUGUCUUAAAAUCAACUGUAGUUUUCCCUGAAUUCUGGCAUUUGAUUUUCAGCUCCCCCAGUCCCUUUAUCUCCUGGGCAUUUUAUUAGGAAGUUGUAAUAUGCUGCUUGGGGAGUACUAGUGAGAAGCCAUUCUUUUACAUUACCAACUUAAUCUAUUUUAUCUUACAUUUAAAAUCAGUCUUUUUUCUUGUUAAAUCUUCAUUAAAAUAAACAUUUCUUCAAGCCCAUAUUCAUAUACAAUUGCCAUCUACUAUGACUUCUGAAAACAAUCUACAAUUAUUUCUUCUAUGCAUGAAAUCUAUUAUUGCACUCUACAUUCUCUCAACAUUUUGCCAACCUCUCUUAAAUCCUAUAUAGUUCAGUUAAACAAAUUCUAUAUAGUACAGUUUUUGAAACUGUACUAUACUAUAUUUAUCAGGCUCUAUAUUAGAUGUUGAGGAUGCCAGAAUAAAGGCUAUUCUUUUUUUUUUAAUUUCUUUUAAUUUGUUGAAAGCUACUCUUACAAUCCUAAAGAAACCCAACUGCUCAUUCUUCUUGCUUUUUUGGACAGUGUCUCAUAAGAUUGAACUGUUGUUCUUAUGUAGUAGAAAUAGUUAUCAUUGGUUUUGUAUACUGCAGAAUAUUUCUGUAUAAUUCUAAUCGUCAUACAUUUCUGUAAUAUGGGUAUCACUGAACUCAAGGGUACUCAACCACUGAGCCACAUCCCCAGCCCUUUUUUAAAAAUAUUUUAUUUAGAGACAGAGUCUCACUGAGUUGCUUAGUGCCUUGCUAUGUUGCUGAGGCUGUUUUUGAACUCGUGAUCCUCCCACCUCAGCCUCCCAAGCCACUGGAAUUACAGGCAUGAGCUACCACACCCUGCUUAGAACUAGUUCUUGACUCCAGAUUUGGCUAAUUCUAAACUUUCUAAACCAUCUGUGUUCUCUCUUUGCAGGCCCAGUGUUCCUGGUUUCUUAAUAUUUACAAUUUAGCAAUGAACUGUCUUUUGACAUGUUAUUAAUCAUGGGAGUUAUUUUCUCCCAUGAUUUCUGUCACUUCCACAUCACACACCAGGUUCUCAUUUGUUUUAGGAACUAAAUUGAGGGAAAAAGCUUGUCAUAGUUCCAUUCUCUAAUUGGUGGGAAAUGAAAGGGCUAAUAAGUUAAAAAUUUAUUACUCUGGGCAUUUUGGACAGAUGGCAGUGCUUGUGACAACACAAUUUUGCCAUCUUUGUGAACCCCUUAUAAAGAAGCCAGGCAUGGUGUUGUAUGUCUAUAAUUCCAGAGGCUCAGGAGGCUGACACAGGAGGAUUGUGGGUUCAAAGCCAGCUUCAGCAAUGGCAAGGCACUAAGCAACUCAGUGAGACUCUGUCUCUAGAUAAAAUAUAAAAAAUAGGGCUGGGGAUGUGGCUCAGUGGUUGAGUGCCCCUGAGUUCAAUCUCUGGUACCAAAAAAAAAAAAAAAUAUAUAUAUAUAUAUAUACACACACACACACACACACACGUACACACACAUAUAUACUUAUAUGUGUAUAUACAUAUAUAUUUAUAAUUUUAAAAUUAUAUUUUGAUAAUUAUGCAUUUAUAUAUACACAUAUAUACAUUUAAAAAUAUGUAUUUUAAAUUAUAUAUAUUUAUUAGUACAAAAGUUAAAAAGGUACAGACCAAUGAAUUUUCAAAAUUAGUACAUCUAUGUAAUCAAUACCCAGAUAGUAAUAGACCAUUCACAAUCUUCAAGAAGCUUCCUUUAUUAUAUGAUUAAAAAAAAUGUAAUAGUUGCUACCAGUAUGUAGGAAGGGAUGUCUCAGAAAUGGCAGUUCAUAAUUUACUUCUGUAAAUUUAGAGAUUAUGCUUGAAUAUAUUUAAUAUUUUUUUUGAGUGAUCUGAGAUAAAACGCUGGCCAGUGAAUUUUUUUAAGAAUUUCUUUUUUAGUUAUAAAUGGACAUAAUACGUUUAUUUUGUUUAUUUUUUUUAUGAGGUGCUGAGGAUCAACCCAGUGCCUCACACAUGCUAGACGAGUGCUCUUCCCCUGAGCCUCAAUCCCAGCCCCCAGUCAGUGAGUUUUUUGGUAGAAAGAUCUCAUAAAGCUAGUCAGGAGGCCAGUGUCUAGUUUAAACUUUUCCAUUAAUGGACCGAGUAGUUCUAAGAACUUAAAACUCAGUAUUUUAUUUGUGCAAUGAAUGUGCAGUACUAGAAUAUCUAACUGAGGAGUUUCCUCUCUACAGGGUUCUCAGUUUGGGCUGUAAAGAGCUUUUCCUCCAAGUUAGUAAAUUUAAAUAAUUUUAGCUUAUUCUUUGGUUCCCCAGAGUGGUAAUUGCUUUCUGCAGCUGAUACCUAUGUAAUAAUAUUUACCUUUUGCCUUUCAACCACUUAUGAAGCAAGUUUAUAUCUAUACUGUAAUAUUAACUUCUCUCUAUUAAAAUGACUGUGUAUUUUCUAUCUAUUGACUGGACCUCUGACUGAUGAUAGAAAUCCAGGAGGAGUGGAAUUUAAUGUCCCACUUUCUGGUUUGCAUACUUUAAAAAUUUUUUUUUUAGUUGUAGAUAAAUAUGAUAUCUUUAUUUUAUUUAUUUUUAUGUGGUUCUGAGGAUUGAACCCAGUGCUUCACAUGGUAGGCAAGUUCUCUACCUCUGAGCUAUAACCCCAGCUCUGCAUAUAUCUUUUAAAGAUAUCUAAAGUACUUGGUAUAUCUUGAUUAUCAGAUUUAUUCAGUAGAAUGUCAUCAGUAUUGUAGGCAAGUUUGGACUCACAGUAUGAUUAAAAUCUCAAUGUUGGAGUAUAGGAGAGUUAGCAUAGGCUUGAAGCAAGAAUGUGAUAGUUUAACAAAAUGGAGUGCUGCUGCUGCUGCUGCUGCUGCUUCUUCUUCUUAAAUUGUUGUUUGUUUUUUACAAAUUAAUAUGGAGAAAAAAGCAUUUGCUUAGUAGGUGUCAUGGUUUGAAUACAAGGUGUCCCCCUAAAACUCCUGUGUUAAUGCAGGAGUAUUUGGAGGUGAAAUGAUGAGAUUGUGAGAGCUGUAAUCUAAUCAUUCCAUUCUAGUUUGAAUGGACUAACUGUAGGGAGAUGGAGCAUGGCUGGAGAAGAUGGGUCCCUGGGGUCAAGCCCUGAAAGGGUGCAUCUUCUCUGAGGGGACCCUUCUCUACCACUUCCUUGUUAGCAGUGAGCAGAGAAGCUUCCUUCCACUGUGUCCCCUCCACCAUAAUGUUCUGCCUUGCUUUGGACCCAGUAAAAUCAUGAGCCAAAAUAAGCUUUUACUUCUCUGAGUAAAUACUUGUUCUUGUCAAGUAUUUUGGUCACAGCCGUGAAAAGCUGACUAAUAUAUUAGGUUAUGAGUUGUUAAUUUGCUCUGGUAAAAACACUUCAUCUUAAAUACAGCCAUUCACCAGGUCCAUCUGUUUGAUGUGGUCCAAAAAGGCCAGUUAAGCAAAUCAUCACCUUUUCAUCUUUCAAGUCUGUUUAUGGCACUUAUAUCUGUGGUAUUUUUUUCAUUUACUUUGUUGGCAAGAAGAGGAAUCUCUAUAGAGUUUCUAGUUGAUCCUUUCUACCAUAAUGAUUCUUACUCCACAGCUCAGAGAAUCAAUUUGGGGACUGAGCCAGUUGCCAAAUAUAACCAUUCUAGAUGUGCAUUAAUGAACUGGGGAAAAUAACCAGACGGUGGAUCUUUGUAUUUACUUGUCUCAGUGUGACUCAAACUUGAUCUAAAAAAAACUCCUUGAAUUUUGUCACAGAUAGUCUGUAAACCUUUGUUGCUUCCAUGAUUAUUUUUAAUAAUUCUAAUGAAAAAGCAUUAUGAGGAAUGUGAUAUAUUAUUUUAUUCAUUUUUCUUUUUUUAUAUUGAUUUUUUAAAUUUGUAGAAUAGUCUCACAAAAGUAGAACUGUUCAAGGUACAUGCAUUUAAUCAAUACUGCCAGUUUCUUUUUCUUUUUUUUCCAGAUUCUAGAACAAUCUGCUUGCUUACUCCAGAUCUUAUCAAUUUUAUUUUGUUUUAUGCCAAGCAGAGGUGGAAAAUGGUUUUCUAAAAUUUUAAUUUGCAUUUUUACCACUUUCUCCUAAAAUGCUAGGUUAAUGGUCAAGGUUCUUUCUUGGACACUGACCUUUAUGGUAACUUUUCUCUCUUUUUAAGGAGAUAAAUCUAUAACUGGAAAAGGAUAAAGCAAAGUAUUAGUAAUACACAGUUUAAAAAUACUAAACAUCUGGAGUUAAAAUUUAUGCAGGCUAGAACAUUCUUGUGCUUCUUUCUGGAAAUCAUACUAACCACUAGCAAGCUGGAUGUUAAAUAUUUAAAAAAUAGCUACAGUGAAACUAGUUCUUAAGAAUAGGGUUUUACUUUCAAGCUAAAUUAGACUGAGUCCAAGAAAUUAAAAAAGUCAUGUUUGUCAUACAUAAAAACUAUCUUUCGGGCUGGGGAUGUGGCUCAAGCGGUAGCGCGCUCACCUGGCAUGCGUGCGGCCCGGGUUCGAUUCUCAGCACCACAUACAAACAAAGAUGUUGUGUCCGCCAAAUACUAAAAAAAAAAAAAUGUUGAAAUUCUCUCUCUCUACCUCUCUCUCACUCUCUCUUUAAAAAAAAAAAAAAUAAAAAAUAAAAUAAAAACUAUCUUUCUAAAAUUUGUUACAAAUAAGUUAAUAGGACUAUUGUAAACAUAAUCUAAUGAUUUUAUUUUGGCUAUAAUUUUGGAAUUUUGUAGAUUUUAAGUGAGUUUACAGAAAUAGUUUGGAACUUCAUAUUUAGCUUCCAUUUUAUAAUGAAAAUAGUCUUAUUGAAACACAACCUCAUUCAUUCAUUUAUAUAUUAUCUAUGAUUGCUUUCAUAGUAUAACUGCAGAGGUAAAUGAUUAAAUAGAGACUGUCUGGCCCACAAAGUGAAAAUAUUAUUAUCUAUCCCAUUACAGAAAAAGUUUUCCAGAUCCUGGUUUAGUUGGUUAGGGUGAAAAACUCAGGUUCCCCCUGUGAUCCUCAUAGGCCCUAACUACAGCCAUGCAUUGUGUAGCUCCCCUUUAAAUCCCUGAUCCCUUUUACCCUGCUCCAGUCACACAGCUUCCUCCUUGCUGCUCCUUUAGUACCAGAAGUAGCUGGCGUGGGGGUGGGGGGGUGGGGGAGGAUCAGGAUUUAUUCUUCCCUUACUUUUUCACUUAAUGGAAGUAUUUUGAUAUUAAAGUCCAUAUGUGGUUAUUUGUGUUUUCAACAUCUUAGAUUUGGUACUUAGAUUUGAGUCUUCAGUACUUAGAUUUGGGUCUCCAUGUGAUAACUUUUGCUAAGAGUUUUGGGAAAAAUGGUUCUAUUGAUAGCAUAUUUCAAACAUCUUUAUUCAAGUUAGGACAAAAAAUUUUUUUUCUCUUUUAAAGAUCAUUAUGUUAAAAAUAACUUGAACAGAAUGUUUUUCACUGAAAUAAUAUUGAAAACUGUGCAAGUAGGACUAUGUGAGGAGGCCACCUCAUCUAUUCUUUUCCUGAUUCUUUUUUUUUCCCAAAUGAAAUCUUAGUUUCAUUUAUUUAAGGCUAUUAGGUUCAUGAGUAUUCUUUCACUAUCAUCUUAUCCAAAGCAAUAUGCAGCUUAAAAAUAGUAAACAUCUGGAGUUAAAAUUUAUGCAAGCUAGAACAUUCUUGUGCUCCUCUCUGGAUAUCAUAAUAACCAUUAGCAAGCCUGAUGUUAAAUAUUUUAAAAUUUAAAAUUUUAAACCAACAAAUGGUUCUGGGAAAACUGGAAGCAUAUCCUAGUCUUUCAGUAAGAACUCAAUAGAAUUGUAUUUUGGGCUUAGAGAACUGAGCCUGAAGGUUUCAUUUACCUACCUCCUUUCUCUGUUGUAAUGAUGAAUCUGCUGAAUAGAGAAAUAAGUCAGCAGAGUAAGCAGCCAUGUACUAGGUAUAAAAAUGUAUUUUAUAUAUAUUCUCUCAUUUUAAAUCCUCACAAGGUAUGUAUUAUUUCUAUUUUAUAAACAAUGAAAUUUAAUUUGAGUGAGAUUGAGGCCAAUCCAGAGGUUAUGAAACUGAUAAGCAGUCAUAAUUAUUUGUCUGGCUUUUGACAGUCCUUGGUAAGGGCGAUUAAUGGCAGUAGAAUUUUAAUGCUUAAACUCUUUGUUAUAUUUCAUAUGUAUUUUUCCAUCAUAUGAUAAACGUUCUAUAUUAGUACCUAUUUCCACUAAAAUGUCAUAGAGUCUCAGGAUUAACAAUUUUAUAAUGGAGAUGUGAUUUGUGAAAAAAAAAUGUAUCUUAAGAAGAAUGAAUAAAAUAAGUGAAUGUUGAGGGAAAAGGAAAGUUUUCUUUUCUUUUGUUUUUUUUUUGGGUACCGGCAUACUGGGCCACUGAGCCACAUCCCAGCCCUAUUUUGUAUUUCAUUUAGAGACAGGGUUUCACUGAGUUGCUUAGCACCUCACUUUUGCUGAGGCUGGCUUUGAACUUGAGAUCCUCCUGCCUCAGCCUCCUGAACCGCUGGGAUUAUAGGUGUAUGCCACCACACACAGCUAGCAAAGUUAUUUUGGUGGACUUAAUAAGAAAUUAAUAUUUUAUGAUUAAAUAUUUUUUGUGUAAAAGUGUUUAAUAAAUUUAAUUUGGAUUGGUUUUAAUGGCCAAAGGAGAGGUAGGUGUAUUUGGGUUUGGCUUAACCAGUGAGUGAUAGUGUUAGAAUAGUAUCAGAAUACUACUAAGGAAUGCAGAAGAGACACCAGUCAGUAUUCCAAUUGUGUUUUUCAGAACUAAUCAGUUACCUUGUGAAUGUGUUUUCAUUGUGACUGCUGUGUUAUUUGAGUCCUUUAUAGCUCUCACUUAGAGUUUCUAUUUUAUGAAUACAGCUCCAUGCUAACCAGGUUAUACCUGAGAGAGAGAGAAAAGCAGACAUGCGUACUACACAUGCAUGAGGUGGAGGAAGUGGGGACAGAUGGAAGGGGGAGGAAGAGUGUAUGUGUGUAAAUAAACAUAGAAGUUGUCUAGAAAUAGUCACCGUUCAGCAGAGGUGUGUGACUGAAUUGUAGGAGUCGAGAGGAAGGGUCAUUUUUUUUUUUUUUUUAAUUUACUUCUGUGAUAGUAGCUGGUACUUUUGCUUACUAUGUGCCAGGCUCCAUUCCAAGUACUUGAAAUGUACUCAUUUCUAGUUAAUCCUUACAACAAUGCUCUGAGGUGAGUUACUUUUUUCCUUUUCUCUGUUUUGAUGGAGUGUGUGUGUGUGUGUGUGUGUGUGUGUGUAUGAGUGAGAAACAAAGAGUUAUUAAUACAAAGAGUAAGUUUGUUUCUGAGCAGUUAAGAUCCAGUCCACAUUCUUAAGCACACUAUAUUGCCUUUCAGCCUGAGGUAGCUCAGUAUGGCAUUGUUCAUUUUUCAGCUAGUGCUCAUUAACCAAAAGGAGAAGAUCAAAGGUCGUAUUCAUUUAUUGUGUUGACCAGUAUGACAGUCAUUCACGCCUGCAUGGGACAGUACUGAAUGAUGCCGAUACACAUACUCAGAUAAAUAUCUAAAAUGUGUGUAUGUGUGUGUGUGUGUGUAGGGAUGUAUAUGACUUAGUGGUAGCAUAUCUUAUGUAGGGGUUUGUCUCUAAAAGCAGCAUGACCAUGUAACAUCAAAAUAGCUCUUUUCCAGCAGUAGUAACAAAAACAGCAUGAUAUUGGCACCAAAAUAGACUGGUAGGCCAAUGGUAUAGAAUAGAGGACACAGAGACUAACCCAAAUAAUUACAGUUGUCUUAUAUUAGACAAAGGUGCCAAAAACAUACAUUGGAGAAAAGUUAGCCUCUUCAACAAAUGGUUCUGGGGAAACUGGAAAUCCAUAUGUAACAAAAUGAAAUUAAACCUUAUCUCUCACCAUGCACAAAACUCAACUCAAAGUAGAUCCAAGGACUUAGGAAUAACCCAGAGACACUGCGCCUAUUAGAAGAAAAAGUAGGCCCAAAUCUCUAUCAUGUUGGAUUAGGCCCCAGUUUCUGUAAUAAGACUCCUAUAGCACAAGAAUUAAAACCAAGAAUCGAUAAAUGGGAUGGAUUCAAACCAAAAAGCUUAUUCUCAGCAAAGGAAACAAUCAGCGAGGUGAAUAAGAGAGCCUACAUCUUGGGAGCAAAUUUUUACCACUCGCACAAUAGAUAGAACACUAAUUUCUAGGGUAUAUAAAGAACUCAAAAAGCUAAACCCCUCAAAAAACAAAUAGCCCAAUCAAUAAAUGGGCCAAGGAACUCAACAGACACCUCUCAGAAGAUUAUAUACAAUCAGUCAAAAAAUAUAUGAAAAAAUGUUCAUCAUCACUAGCAAUUAGAGAAAUGAAAUCAAAACUACUCUAAGUUUCAUCUCACUCCUGUCAGAAUGGCAGCUAUUAAGAAUACAAACAAUAAGUAUUGGCAAAGAUGUGGGGAAAAAGGCACACUCAUACAUUGCUGGUGGGACUGCAAAUUGGUUCAGCCAAUAUGGAAAGCAGUAUGGAGAUUCCUUGGAAAACUGGGCAUGGAACCACCAUUUGACCUAGCUAUCCUGCUCCUUGGUCUAUACCGAAAGGACUUAAAAACAGCAUACUUUAGGGACACAGCCACAUCAGCAGCACAAUUCACAGUUGCUAAACUGUGGAGCCAACCUAGAUAUGCCCCUCAGUAGAUGAAUGGGUAAAGAAAAGUGGCAUAUAAACACAGUGGAAUAUUACUCAGCAAUAAAAGAAUAAAAUCAUGGCAUUUGCAGGUAAAUGGAUGGGGAUGGAGAAGAUAAUGCUAAGUGAAUUAGCCAAUCCCAAGAAACCAAAUGCUGAAUAUUCUCUCUGAUAUAAGGAGGCUGAUUUAUAGUGAGGUUGUGAGGGGCAGCAUGGGAGGAUUAGAUGAACUCUAGAUAGGGCAAAGGGUGUCAGGGGAAAGGAGGGCAUAUGGGGCUAAAAAAGAUGGUGGAAUGAGAUGGAUUUCAUUAUCCUAAGUACAUGUAUAGGGCUGGGGAGAUAGCUCAUUUGGUAGAGUGCUUGCCUUACAUGCACAAGGCCCUGGGUUUGAUCCCCAGCACCAAAACAAACAAACAACCCCCCCAAAACUAAGUACAUGUAUGAAGAUAUGAAUGCUGUGAAUAUACUUAUAUACAACCAGAGAUAUGAAAAACUGCUCUAUAUGUGUAGUAUGAAUUGUAAUUCAUUCUGCUGUCAUAUAUAACAAUACAAAAAAAAAAAACAACAGGCAAUCAACUUGCUUAGACUUUUGUUAGAGGCUUUGUCUCAUUCUUUGUGAGUGGCAAUUUCAAUCUCAGUUCAUUUAAUUUCUUUUUAAGACUCUGAGUUUGUUGUAUGUAGGUGUCCUUUGAGGCUACCCUGAGACUUGUAUGGGAUUCAUUCACACAAGUAGAGGAUUCAGUUUGUGGUUCUCUUUCCUCCAAAAGUUCCUCCCACCUCCAUCUCCAGGUAUGACUGUUAUGCUCCUUUCCCUGGUUCUCUUUCUGCUGUACUAUUUUACGACUGUGGCUCACUCUCAGGGCAAGUGCCCCUCUGCCAAACGUGCAUACAAAGGGGCACUCAGCCAUGUGCUAAUGGAUUCUACUUAUAUGGACUCCUUUUUUUAUUUUGAAAAAUCCUGGCCACAUUCUAUUUUUUGGAAUUGUGGGUUGCACUAUUUUCAUUUUUAUUUCUGAGCACAUGAAUUUAUCAAUUCCCAUACUUGUUAAACACAAGUAUGUUGAUGUUAUUCUUCUGAAUGCAUUGUAUACAUUUUGGUUGAUUGUCUUGAUUACUAAUGUUGAAGACUUUCUUUUUUUGGUAUGUUUCUACCUACUUAUGGUUCUGUUUUGUGACUUGCCCAUUUUUCUUUUGUUUGUUGACUUUUCCUCAUAAUUAGUUGUCAUUUGCCUUAUGUAUGUUGAAAAAUAUUUUAUUCCAGUCUUUUGUCAUAGAAAAGUCUUAAUUUUUUAUUUUUUUGAGCAGUACUAGGGAUUGAACCCAGACAGUCGAUCAUUGAGCUAUAUCUCCAGCCCUUUUUAGUUAUUUAUUUUAAAAAUUUGAGACAGGGUCUCAACAAGUUGUCUAGGAUGGCCUUGAACUUGUGAUCCCUGUUCCUCAGUCUCCUAUAUAACUGGGAUUACAAGAAUGUGCCAUGAAUUUUGAUGUCUUAUCUAUAAAUCAUCGCUUUAUUCAGAUUAAAUACUUUUGUUUCUCUGCCUGCAUUGCUUGAUUAAAAAAAAAAUCAGUAAUGUUGAAUUUUUGUGAAGCACCUUUUUCUGUCUAAAGGAGUGACCAUAAUAAUUUCCUUGUGUAAUGAAUGAGGAUUAAUGAAUUUCUAAAUACUGAACUUUCCUUUAAUUCUUUGGAUAAAAUCAAAAUCAAUUUGACCAUGAUUUAUUAUCUUUUUAAAAAACUGUUAGCCAGACGUGGUGGCGCAUACCUGAUGGCUCAGGAGGCUGAGGCGGGAGGAUGGCAAGUUCAAAUUUUAUAAAUUGCUUCUAUUUUCUGGAUGGGUUUACUUUUUUUGGUAUUUUUUUUUUUUUGAUAAUUUCAAAUUUACAGAAAAUUUUGAAAUUUUCAACCAAUUUAGAAUAAUUGGUUAAGAAACUAUGUAGGUGGGGGGGUAUGGGCAGGAUAGAUGAACUCUAAAUAGGGCAGAGGGGUGGGAGGGGAAGGGAGGGGGCAGGGGGUUAGCAAGGAUGGUGGAAUGUGAUGGACAUCAUUAUUCAAAGUACAUGUAUGAAGACACGAAUUGGUGUGAAUAUACUUUGUAUACAACCAGAGAUAUGAAAAAUUGUGCUCUGUAUGUAUAAUAUGAAUUGUAAUGCAUUCGGUUGUCAUAUAUAAAUUAAAAAUAUAAAAUAAAAAAGCAGACUUUCCACCACGGAAUACUGUCUUUAUGAUGAACGUAAAGAGAGAAAAGGCUGAAAUCCACCCCUACCCCCAGCCCCUCAGUGGACAUUGCAUGAACCCACAACAUGAUGGCCACAAUGCUCCUCUGGCUUCCUUACAGGAGGACACGAUGGUAUCAGGAACCUGUGUGGUGUCUGAGGAGGGGAAUUAAAAAAAAAAAAAAAAGAAACUCCUAUGUACACUUUAGUCAGAUUAAUCUACUGCUUACAUUUGGUGCUGGGGAUCCAAGUAGGGCUUCACAGGAGUCAGGCAAGUCUUCUGUUGCUGAGUUCCAUUGCUUCAGAUCCUAGUUUUUUUCUCUCUUAUGAUAUUUAAUCUGGAACAUGUCAUUGGCCUUUUUAUUGUUUUUCUUGACAUUUUAAUUGUAUAGGUCAGUUUUUGUUUUUUGUUAGUUUUUUUCUUUUUAAUUCAGAAGAGUCCUCAACUUCGGUUUGUUUGGUUAGAUAAAUUCAUUGCUUAUUUUUGCUAGUAAAAUGAAAUACCACAGAAGUGAUGGUAUGUUCUCAGUGCAUCAUAUCUGGAGUCACCUGAUGUUGUUUACAUUGAUGGCUGAAAGGCUUCUCCACUCUAAAUUUAUUACUUCCUUCAGUAAUUAGUAAGUAUUUUGUUAGGAUUUAUUUUGAGAUGGUGUUAAUAUCUGCUCAUCAUAAACUGUUCACCUUUGGGUUUAUUAUUCUUGUUUCUUGCUUGUCAUGUUGAAAGCUUAGUUUGUUUACUUCAGCCUCAUAUUUUCUAAAGUACUUAAGAUUAUAAACUUGUUUUUUUUUGGGGGGGAGGAUCCUGGGGAUUGAACCCAGGGCCUUGUGUGUGUGAGGCAAGCACUCUACCAACUGAGCUAUAUCACCAGCCCUAAGAUUAUAAACUUAAUACAUAAUUUGACUUAUGGUCUGGGAAUACUUAUAGUAGGAUUUGGAAUGAAAGGAGACUAAAUCAUCUAUUACCAGGAAGCUGGCAGUAAGAACCUGAACAGAGAAUUUAAAAGUGCCCCAAAUCAAUCAUUUUAAAAAAUGUGUUCAGUCUUGCAUUAAAGAACAAGUGAUAUGGUUUUUAAUGGUUUAAUGGUUGUAAUUGGCACAACUAUAAACAGUAAUAAGUUGCUGAAAAUAAUGAAUUUAAGAAGUUUAUUUCUUUAGUGCAUUGCGUACUUGGGGCUUAUUUAAUAUACAACUAUCUCAGACCAUGUUUUGCCUUUACCAUUUCAGGAGCAGUGGAAGGGGCAUGGAAGAAUCCUUUUUCAAGCUGGUUUUCUGCAAUGCUCCACUGCUUUGGUGGAGGAAUUUUAUCAUGUAUACUUCUUGCAGAGCCUCCACUGAGGUUUUUUGCAAAUCACACUAAUGUUUUACUGGCAUCUUCAAUCUGGUAAGCUAUCAUUAUGGUAAACUAUGAGACAUUCUAAAAAUUGUUUUGUAAAUUGCUAGUAAAAUGAAAUUUUUUUCUUUAAAAAGUAUUUUAUCUUCUUGGAAAGUUAUGUACAAGGAAGAAACCCAAAUAAUUCCAAAUGUUUAAGCACCUGCUGUCUCUUUCUUGCCUUUCUCUCCCCUUAUUUUUUCUUUUCUUUUCUUUUUUUAUAUAUUUUUUUUUUAGUUUUCGAUGGACACAGUACUUUUAUUUAUUUUUAUGUGGUGCUGAGGAUCGAACCCAGUGCCUCCCACAUGUGAGUCAAGCGCUCUGUCACUGAGUCACAAUCCCAGCCCCUCCCCUUAUUUUUUCCUAGAGGCAAUUAUUACCACCAUAGUCUUAUGCAUUUAGCUUUUCAGACAUGAAAGAGGAUUAAAUAUUUGGCCCCAAACAGUUUCAUCUUAUGAGCUCAACUUAUACAUCCAGAAUUACCACACACAGAAUUAGAAUACAAUAAAAGUCAAUAAAUGUCAUGAAUAUAACCAAACAAAAAAGAUUCAAAUGACUCAAUAUAUAAUUGUCCUUUGUCAUACUUUUUGUUGGGUUAUUUAGAACCUUAUGAGAUCUUUAACAUUAAUUUUUUAGUUGUGAAAUGAAGUAAAAUGUUGCUAGGAAUUGCUUUGGCUUCUUGUAACUCCAAAUUCAGGUAUGCUUUAGAGAACUGAUCCAUUAAGUUAAAAAAUAGGUAUACUACAAAUCAGUGAACUUUGUUCUGUUGAAAGCCAAAACUGUGCUUCUAUUAAAAACCACAUCAGGUUAAAUAUAUAAGAUGUUAGGAACACUUAAGAUUUCAUUUUUAUUAUGAUAAUUUGUAAAUGAUUGUUUUACUAGUUCUGAAGGGGAUAUUAUAAAUAAUAGUAGCAAUAAUAAAAAGUAAAAUGAGGGAACUUGUGGCAGGAGAAACUUGAAAGGGUAUAAUAAUACACUUGAUAGUUUUGAAUACUGACUUGUUAAUAUAUGUCAACUAAAUUCUUUAUAUUCAUUUUCAUAUUAUAUUAUAGGAGUCCCCUGAGUUAGUUUUUAUUCUUAUGCCCAUUUGACAACUGAGAAAACUGAAAUAAAGAAAUGUUGCUAUAACUUUCAUAUCUAGUAAGUGACUGAGUUAGAAUCAAAUUAAAAAAUUUGACUUCAGAACCUUCAAACUUGAUAGGCCCUCGCUCGCGCGAGCUCUCUCUCUCUCUCUCUCUCUCUCUCUUUCAUGAAGCUGUGAUGGAACCAAGACCUCACUCAUGCUAGGCAGGCUCUCUGCUGCUGAACUACAUCCCCAGUCCUCUCAUAAAUUUGUUAACAAUCUCCUAAAUAUAGUCUUUUCCAUUUGCUUUUUGUUUUAAAAAACUUUUCAAGGAUUUUAUUUCUACAAUGAUAUUUUAAAAUGAUAUUAGCAUUUUAGAAAAAUUCUUUUUAUGUGUGUAGAUGUUGAAAUUAUAUAAAAAGUAAGAUAUCCAGAAUCUGACACUCACCAUCACUUAUACUUCUAUUUCUGUUGUACUAAUCACCAAUACUUCUUGCCUGGAUAGUUGAAGUAGCUUCUUAAGGGGUCUUGCUGCUCUAUUCAUUAUCUCUCUUUUUUUUUUUAAUUUAUUUUUUAGUUUUCGGUGGACACAACGUCUUUAUUUUUAUUUUUAUGUGGUGCUGAGGAUCGAACCCAGUGCCUCGCGCAUGCCAGGCAGUCAUGUUACUGCUUGAGCCACAUCCCCAGCCCUAUUCAUUAUCUCUUGAGUCUGUUCUUCAUGCAACAGAUGAAAUGAAUUGUUUUAAAAUAAAUUGGAACAUGUUACCCUUAUGCUAGAGUUUCUUACCUUAUGAAGAACAAAAUUCUAAGCUCUUACCAUAACCUAUAAAUCCCUACAAAACCUUUCUUCUACUCUUUAAUGUAAUGUCUUACCACUGUAACUCUUGUUCACUAAUUCUUGAACAUAUAAGAUAUUUUUCUUCCUUAGUGCCUUUGAACUUGCUUUCUUCUCCCUGUAAUGUUAUUUUCCCAGAAGACUCAUAGUUUAUUAGAGAGGUCUUUCACCAUCCUUCUCUAUUUUUCUUCCUAGAGUUAUUACUGCUUGACAUAUUAACCGUUGACUUUUUAUGUUGCUGUAAUUCCACUAGAAUAACAAACAGUUUAUUAGACCAAGAACUUUGUUUUGUUAACUGUGUACCAAGUAAUAUUCUGCUUUCAGUAAAUACAUUGCUAAAGGAGUAGAUUGCUAUGUACUGUCAUGAGCAAUUUCUGAAAUUGAGUACCAAGGAAUUACAGAUCUUGAUUAAUUGAUCUCUUAAAUGAAGUGAAAUUGCAAUGUCUAUAAAUGUAUGAUUUCUUGGCUUAAACUAAGACAUAUGUUAGAAAUGGAAAAUGAGAAAUGCAUUUUUAUAAUGAAUUAAUAACAUAUUCAUUAACCUCAGAUCUUUUAUUAUUCCCAUUUUAUGUAAGAGGAAGUUGAGGCUUAAAGAGUUGGUAUAAAGUCUGAAUUUCAACUCAGGCAUUUAGAUUAUGGUCUUUAUAGAGUUUUUUCUCUAAACAAUCUUUAUUAGUCUUUUCAGCUAAUACAGAAUAGGUAGAAAAAUAUUUCUAAAGUAUAUGUAAAAUAGAAACAAUUAUGAUGUAAUAAAUCUUGUGUAUCCAUUAUUUAAUUAAGAAAAAAAUUGCCACUUAAAUUUUUUUAUAUGAAGUGAACAUUCAGAAAGCCACAAAGAUGCAUUGACAUAGUAAAUUAUUAUAGUGUAUACCCUUGUAACCCCUACCCCAGUCAAGAGAUUGUGCUUUGUCACUAAUCAUAGAAGUUCUUUCUAUGUGUUUUAUUCCAAUCACAACCUCUUUCCCACCUUAAAUAACCAUUAUAAUAACACAUCCUUACUUCUAUGGGAAUCACGUUUCAUAUUUUUAUAAUUUUAUCACCACUGUUCAUUCCUUGAUAUAUUAUAGUUUAGUUAUUUAUAGGUUCAGAUUGUCUGAUUUGAUCUCUUUUGUGAUAUUUACAGUGUUUUACACUUAAUGCCUGUAACAGUAAAUUGGGAAUUGUAAAAUGGCAAUGAUCUAAUUUUAUCUUUUCUUUUUAUUUAUUUAUUUAUUUAAAAUUUUUUUUUGUAGUUGUACACAAUACCUUUAUUUUAUUUUUUUAUUUAAAUGUUGUGCUGAGGAUCGAACCCACACUGCACACAUACUAGGCGAGUGCUCUACUGCUGAGCCAGAACCACAGCCCCCUUCUUUUUAUUUUUUAAAAUAUUUUUUAACUUGUAGAAGAACACAAUACCUUUGUUUUAUUUUUUAUGUGGUGCUGAAGAUUGAACUCAGUGCUUUCCACAUGUGAGGCGAGUACUCUGCCACCGAACUACAUCCCCAGCCCUCUUUUCUUUUUAUUCGUCAGUUAGAAUAUUAUUCUAAACAGAUACUUCUGACUUACCAUCUACUAUUUGGUAAAGCAGUUGUAUAGUUCAUAUAAGAAAGGCAGGAUAAAUACUUUUUUCUUUUCCUUUACUAGUUUUCAGUAUAAUUAACCUAUACUCUGUCAUCCUCCAAAGAUGACCAGUUUAAAAAAACAAUAAUUAUGAACUCAUGAUUCAAGCAUAUUUCAUGAGUUUUAAUUUUAAUUUUUGUUUUAAUUCUUUGGCCAGUGGGAGCCUCUUUAAAUUGGCUCCUGAGACUUCGGAUUAGCUUCCUUGCCUUUUGGUGUUAUAAAAUUCAUCUUGCACUUUUCUUCUGGAAUUUCUUUAAGAACCUCCAGUAUCUUUUUAAUGAGAAAUGGCAUUUCAAAACCAUAAUCUGAGCAUUAGCGAUCAUCAUUGUUACUGAGUUCAUCAUUGGUUCUAGGCCACUACAGUGAACAGAUAAGAAAAAUAAAGACAAAAUAACUUAUGAGUUCAUAUUGAUAUUUCUGAUCCAAAUUCAAAACUAUACAAUUUUUAUUUAUCUUAUCUCUAUUACAUACAUAUCUUCUUUCUUUGAUAUUAAGGAUUUUGAUUUUUAAAAGAAUAGGACAUGAUAGAAUUAAACUAUUUUGACAUUGCUUAUUUAUUCUGUUGUUUAUUUGUUUUUGUGUGGUGCUGAGGAUCGAAUCCAGGGCCUCACCCAUCCUAGGCAAACACUCUAACACUGAGCUAGAACCCCAGCCCUCAUUUUAUUCUGUAUUAUGCACAUGAUAGUUUUAGAGUAUAGUAAGACUGUCACCAAUUUGGUUACUGGAAACUUUUUUUUAUUAGAGCUUUAUAUUUAUAUAUAAUAUUUGGGUUCCUUUUGACAUACAAAGAAUUUGAUUUCAAUCCCCAUUCCCCCCUCCUUAAUUUCCUCCUUCUUUUUUUUUCUCUCUUCUCACUCUUUUAUUUAUUUAUUUUUGACUGGUACUUUCUACAUAUACAUAGAGGAGAUAUACCGUUUGGUACAUUUAUAUAUGUAUAUAUUAUGGUUUUGUUAGAUUCAUUCCAUAUUUCUUUCCCUUAUGCUUCCUUUUCUCUCUCCCUCUCAUUUUCCUACUUUUAAUCCACUGAUCAUCCCUAUAUCUUUAUGAUAUCCAAUCCCCUCCCCCACUGCCUUUUCCCCCUUAUUUUGCUUUAGCUUCCACAUACAAGAGAAAACAUUCAACCCUUGAUUUUCUGAGUCUGACUUAUUUCACUAUUAUGAUUUUCUCCAUUUCUAUCCAUUUACUGGCAAAUGUCACAUUUCAUUCUGAUUUAUGGCUGAGUAAAACUCCAUUGUGUGUGUAUAUCACAUUUUCUUGAUCUAUUUAUAUAUUGACAGGUAUCUGGGUUGAUUCCAUAAUUUGGCUAUCGUGAAUUGUGCUGCUACUAACAUUGUAUUGGCUGUUUCAUUAUAGUAUGUUGAUUUUAAUUCUUGGAUAAAUACCAAGGAGUGGGAUAGCUGGGUUAUAUGGUGAUUCCAUUUCUAGAAUGGAAUCUGCUUUUGAAAGUAGUUGUACUAAUUUGCAGUACCAACAACAAUAUUUGAGUGUACCCUUUGCCUACAUCCUUGCCAGCAUUUAUUAUUAUUCAUAUUCUUGAUAAUUGCUAUUCUGACUGGUAGUAUUUGUGGUUUGCAUUUCCCUGAUUGCUAGAGAUGUUGAACGUUUUUUUCAUAUAUAUAUAUAUUUUGGCCAUUUGUGUUUCGUUUUGUUCUUUUGUCCAUUUAAUGAUUGGGUUAUUUUAUUUUAUUUCAUUUUUUUGUGUUCUUUAUAUAUUUUAGAGAUUAACCCUCUCUCAGAGGAGUAGUUGGCAAAGAUUUUCUCCCAGUCUGUAGGCUCUCUCUUUGCUUUCUUUCUUUUGUUUUUUUUUGGGGGGGCGGGUGUGGGUACCAGGAUUGAACUCAGAACACUCAACCGUUGAGGCACAUCCUUAGCCCUAUUUUGCAUUUUAUUUAAAAUCAGUGUCUUGGGGGCUGGGGAUGUGGCUCAUGUGGUAGCGCGCUCGCGUGGCAUGCGUGCGAUCCGGGUUCGAUCCUCAGCACCACAUACAAACAAAGAUGUUGUAUCCGCCGAAAACUAAAAAAUAAAUAUUAAAAAAAAAAUUAAAAUCAGUGUCUUACUGAGUUGCUUAGUGCCUCGCAGUUGUUGUGGGUAUCCUCCUGUCUCAGCUACCUGAGGUGUUGAGAUUGCAGGCCUGCGCCACUGCGCCCUGCCCUCUUUGCUUUCUCAGUUGUGAAAAUUGCUUUUUAUGUUUAACUCUCGUAUGUUUAACUCUUAUGUUUAAUACAAAUGCACCGUUCUGCAUUCUAAUAAUAUUAUAGCCAUUUCAUACUAUACUUACCCUUUUUAAGUUUUCAUUCAGUCUUAUUUUUCAGCUAACUUUAACACUUAAUACUAGUUCUUAUGACUUAUAUCUGUUUAUUUUGGUUGUCUGAAGCUUAUGCUAUAGUAAAUUUCAUCAGGAAUAGUAGUCCCAGAGUUUUCACAUAAGGAUGUUUAUUUGUGUCUUUUAACUCAAAAGCCAAGUUUUUUAUUUACUUAUUUAAAAAAAAUUAUUUAUUUAUUCUAAUUUGUUAUAUAUGAUAGCAGAAUGCAUUUCAAUUCAUAGUAUACAUAUAGAGCACAGUUUUUCAUGUCUCUGUACACAAAGUAGAGUCACACCAUUUGUGUCUUCAUACAUGUACCUGGGGUAAAUGAUAUCCAUCUCAUUCUACCAUCUGUCCUAACCCCCUUUCCCCUCCCCUCCCCUCCCUUCCCUUGUCUUUGCCUUAUCUAAAGCCUAUUUUAUUGAAUAUAAAAUCAUUGACACAUGUAUAAUUAAUAUAUUAAAUGUACUAUUUCAUUUUUCCCCCCUGACUUAAAGCAUUGCUGUGAAAAAGUCUAAUGGUCUUUUAAUUUUCUUGCCCUUAUAAAGUCAUGUGCUUUCUCUUUCGCUCUCUCUCUUUUUUUUCCUGAAUUUUGUUUUCUUUAGAGUUUAAUAAUUUAAAUAAAACAUGUUUUGAUUGGUCAUUUUGGGGCAGUAUCUUCAAGUAUGUGGGAUGUUCUUUUUAGUACAUAUAAAUGUUUUCUUAUUUGGAAAAAUUGAGUAUUUGUAUGAUUCCUUGGACUUGUUUUUCUUUAGGAACUCCUAUUAUUACCGGCAGAUUGGCUCUUCUUUGCCUUUCUUCAAUGAAUCUUUUUUAAAAAAAUAUAUACAUUUUUAGUUGUUGAUGGACUUUAUUUUAUUUGUUUAUUUAUAUGUGGUACUGAGAAAUGAACCCAGUGUCUCACACAUGUGAGGCAAGUGCUCUACCACUGAGCCACAACUCCAGCCCUUUAUCUGUCUUUUUAAGUUAAAAUAUUUUUACCUUUUCCUCUUCUAUUUCUUUGGAUGCACUGUCUGUUGUGUUUAUUUCUCUUUUUGUUUUCUUCUUUAGUCUUCAUAUCUGAAAUUACCUUUGUUUUUUAUUUUUAUUCAUAAUCCUUAGUUUUUAGUUUUUUUUCUAAUUCUGAUGUUUGCUGUGCUUUUUAUGUCUUAUAUCACUUUCUUAAUGUCUUCAGCUUUUUCUUUUUUUGAAAUAAUGAGCUACAGUUCUAAUCUGAUUUGCAGAAACAUCCUGAGUGUUUUUUUUUUUUUUUUUUAAGUUGUAGUUGAACACAAUACCUUUAUUUUAUUUAUUUAUUUUUUAUGUGGUGCUAAGGAUCAAAGCCAGUGUCUCACGUGCUAGGAGAGUGCUUUACCACUGGGCUUACUUUAUUUAUUUUUUUAUUGUAAUAAGUUUAUAUGAGAUUUGACCUUAAUAAUUUUCUGUUAGUAAUAUUUAUAUGAAUUUGGUUUCCUUUAGGCUUUCAGAAUUAGGUAGAAUUUUCUGACUUCACAGAGCUUCUAUUUGUUGUUUUUAAUGUAGCAUUCAAAAGAUGAUGGUACAUGUUCCCUGAGAUUUCUUGGGUCUUUUCUCCUUCCCCAUUUUGGUCUGGACUUUUCUCUUUCUUUUAUUUUUCUAUCCUGCUCUGUUUUGAUUUUAUUCCAGCAGUUUGUUUUCAAUAUGGGGCCUGUUCUAGAAGAUCAUCCUGGUGGAUCAGUUUUGAAAGCUCAUACAGACUAAAUUGUUUAAACCUUUUCCCAUCUUCUAUCAUGGACCCCUUGUCCUAUCUGAUGUUUAAGCUGCCAUAUAUGUUAGUUCACCCUUGCAAUCCUAGCUAUGUGGAGGUUGAAGCAGCAGGAGGAUUACCAGUUCUAGGCCAGCCUGGGCAAUUUAGUAAGAUUCUGUCUCAAAAUAAAAAGGGAUGAGGAUGUAGUUCAGUGGUAGAAACCUUACUUAGCAUGCACAAGACCCUAGGUUAAUCUCUAGUUACUAAAACAAAUGUGCAGGUGAGCACACAGACAGAAACCCUCUAGUUUUUCUUCAAAUUGGCCUACAUGUACUUUCUGGUGAGUGCCCAUUUGCUCCCUUUAGUGUUAUUUUGUUUGUGAGCUUGUAUCUUUUUCCUGUUGGUCUCUCUGAGUGUUGGUGAUUUGUCUCUUCCCACUUGCUUUUGGGGUCUGAGAGGUUUUCUUAUUAGUAUUGUAUAUAGGAUUUUAGUGUUGGCUGUCUCGUUGCUCUGUGUUUUUCUGUGGGAUUUGAGUAAAUUAAGAUAUAUUCAAUCACUACCAUCUUCCCAGAAUCCUUCUAUUAGUUUUGAUGUCCCCAGUAUCUUCUCUAGUCCCCCUUUUUCCUUCCUCAGAGGGAAUCAUCAUAGUUUUGUGCUUAUUAUUCAUUUGCUUUUCUAUGUAGCUUUAGCAAUGUUUAUAUCUCAAAACAAUAUAAUUUUUGAAAUUUUAUAAAAUGAAUCAUAUAUGUUUUUCUGUAACUUGCUGUUUUUUGUUCAACCUCUAUUCCUGAAAUUCAUUUUUAUUGUGUGUGGUUGUAAUUUAUCAAUUUUCACCGUUGUAUAGCAUAACAGAAUUAUCACGUCAUAAUCUUUCCUUUUCUCUACUGACAGUUGUUUCUACUUUUUUCCUAUCAUAAACAGUAUUUCUAAGAAAAUUCAUACAUAUUUACUGGUGUACAUAUGUAAGAUUUUCUCUUCGCAUAUGCUUAAGAGUAAUAUUCAAUUAUAGGGAAAAUGAUUCUUAAACUGUAUUAUAUGAUGCCAGAUCAUUUCCCAAAACCGUUAUAUUAAUUUACAUUCUCACUGCAUUGCACCCAACCUAAGAACUGGACUCUACCAGUAAUUUUUAUACAUUUAUACAUUUUCUUCCUCUGUCCUGUCUUCUAAUUUUUCACAGAUAACCUCUACCCUAAUGGUUGUAUUUAUCUUACCUUUUAGAAAAAUUUAUAUUAUAUUGGUGAAUAAAUAAUAGUAUGUGGGGAGCCAUUCUCACACGUGACUGGGCAACUCCUGGUUUGGGUCUGAGGCGCUCUGGCUAAACUGUGUCGGAGCUUUCCCGGCCCUCUCCUGGUGCGAGAGCCUGUCCGUGUGGGGGUGUGACUGACCACUGACCCCGGGGACCAGUCACUGACCCAGACCUUCAUUGGAUGGAAUUCUCCCUUGAAUUUCUUGUUCCCCAAUAAAAGGCUACUCCCUGGCGUGCUCCCUCUCUCUCUCUCCUGCUAGCCCUGAGUAAUCCUUGCUGCCCUACCGGGUGGUUCGAGGUAUAAACCAGAGGGAGAGCCGUCUGGGACCUGGUCAUAGAAAAAGGUAACUGAGUCUGUGUGUUUAUUUCGAUCUCACUAGUUAACUUUUAUGCCAAGAACCUCAUUAAUGAAACCAGUGCGCUGGACGCAUGGUGGAAUAGUAUUUUUAGUUUUGUUUGUUUGAGGCCCUAUUUUUUUUUUCACAUUUUAAAAAUCCUUUUAAUUAGUUGAUGAAAAUUUGGGUUAUUUGAGGCACUAUUUUAAUUAAUUUAUUUUUUGUGGUUCUGGGAUUGAACCCAGGGCAUUAUAACAUGCUAAGCACACACUAUAGCAUUGAGCUAUAUAAGCCCCUAGCACCUGAACCCAUUUUAAAAUGGAAUAUCAUACUGACUAUAGUUUCCUGGGCAUUAAUUUUUCACUUGAUAUUAUAUUACUAAGAUUCAUCUGUAUGUUUUUGUGUGUAGCCAUAGUGCAUUCCUUCCCAUUGCUGUUUAAUCCAUUAUAUUGAUAUCUAUAUUUAUUUUAUUGUUGAUGAGCAUUUUAUUGGUUCCAGUUGUUUUGUUGUGCAUUACAAAACCACAGUAAUGAUAGUAAUUUAUAUAUCAUUUAUUAUGUCCUAGACACUCUUCUUAGUGCUUUAUAUUUACUAUCUCAUUUAAACCUCACAUGAAUCUUGUGAGGUAAGUAUUGUUUCACUCUUCACAGAUCAUAUAACUGAGGCAUGAGGCAUAAGGCAUGCAGAAUUAAUAACUUACCCAAGGGAUUGCAGAUACUAAGUGAUUGGAACCUAGGGUAUCUAUCUAGUUCUUUGUGCUUUGUUCAUGCAAUGUAUUCCUUCCCCCCCCCCCCCCAAGUACUGGGGAUUGAACCCAGGGCACUCUACCACUGAGCCCCUUCCUCCCUUUAAAAUUUUGAGAGGGUCUUGCCAGGUUUCUGAGGCUGGUCUUGAACUUUCAAUCCUCCUGUUGCAGUCUCCAAAGUAGAUGGGAUUAUAGGAGUGUGCCACCACACCUGACAAUAUUGCAUCCUAUUCUGCAAAUAGGAAUCUUUUCUUUGUCCUCAUAGACCUUUACAUAUAAAAAAGGUUCUGAUUUAAAGACAUAUAGUAUGUGUUACUAUUUUCUCCUUUAAAGUUUUAAUAUUUAGAAUAAAUAUAUAGUCUUUGCUUCAUUUAAUUUUUCUUAUUUCUUUCUUUAUUUUUGGUAUUCGGUAUCGAACCACUGAGUCACAUCCCCAGCCCUUCUUAUUUUUAAUUUGAGACCACAUCUAUAUAAAUUGCUUAGGGACUCACUAAGUUGCUGAGGCUGACCUCAAACUUGCGAUCCUCCUGCCUCAGCCUCCUGAGUCACUGAGAUUACAGGCAUGUGCCACUGUGCCCAACUACUUCAUUUAAUUUUAAUUUGAAAAUUAAAAUGAUGUUUGGAGUGUAAAUUCUAGCAAGUAAGGUCAUCUUUAGUAUCAUAGUGCACACCUCUGGAGAUUAGCACCAUCUACUGGCAUACAGAAACAAUAACUUGGUUAUGUCAUAAUUAUUGGUUAGAAAGAUUUUUCUUUUUUUAAAUUUUUUUUUUAGUUGUAGUUGGAACACAAUACCUUUAUUUUAUUUAUUUAGUUUUAUGUAGUGCUGAGGAUCGAACCUAGUGCCUCCCACGUGCUAGGCAAGUGCUCUUCCGCUGAGCCAUAACCCCAGCCUAUAGAUGGAGUUUUCUUUUUGAAAAUCUGCUUCUGAGGAAGCAAAUGUUUUAUAAUUUUCCUACGUAUUGAUUUUUAUUCCCCAGGGGUUUUUUUUUUUUUUACCUUGAACUUAAAUUCCCAAGUGUAACUUAUUGUAUGUUGCAUAUUAUACAGUUGCAUAGCUAAAAUUACAUUUAGACAAGCUGUCAUUGGGUAAGUCUUUUUUCAAAGCACAUAUAUAAAAUAAUUUAUUAGAGUAAUAAGAACAAGAGGAAACUAUUGUAUUGAACCAACAUUAAUUAUAUUUAUUUAGUGUUCUGUUUUGGUUUAGUUAAGUGAUAAUAUCUUUGUAGAGGAAUGAAUUGAUAGUACAGAAUUCUCAGUGACUAACCUUGGGAAAUUUUACUCCCAUCUUUCUUACUUUAAGUGGUUUAGCUUUCAUUUGUUGGUGGUGUAGGAUUUUAUUUGUAUCUUGUUUUUGGACUAAUUUCUAUCCUUGGUCAUUUUUCUUUCUUUAUCAGUUUAAUCCAUGAGACUUAAAAAUGUGUGAGAAAUCCAUUAUUGUCAUUCAUUUUUCUCUUUUUUCUGUUAUGUUUUCUUUAGGCACUUUUAGAAGUUAAAUGUAUCUGAGAUGUUAUAAGGAGGGAUAUGUGAUUACUUAAUGAGUGUUAGUUGAGUGAUUCAUUAAAGGAAUUUAAAAAAAUCUAAUUUAUGUUACAGAGUAGGAAUAGUUGUUUUAGAGAUUCAGUGUUUCUGAUAUGUUUAUUUAUAAGUCUUCUGAACAAAAUAAAUGAUCUUUUGCUCUGUGGCUAUUUAGCACUCAAGGAGAGUGUUUUUUUGUUUGUUUGUUUGUUUAUUGUGUUAGCUUAUUGUAGGUAUUCACAUAUUUAGGAAUAUCUGAUUAAGGACUUACUAAUUCAGAAAUAGAAAUAAUUAUAAAAUCUUGAAUAUGAAAAGUCCAAGAUUACUCUUGUAAUAGCAUAAGUUUUUAACUCAUGUUAAAGAUAGACUUAGUGAAGGGAUUGAGAAAUGGGGUCAUUUGUACUAUUGUUUUUUUAUUCCUUUCAGUAUUUUACCUUUGAAUUUAAUUUCUGUUAAAGUGAAAACUAAUUUUUUCUAAUUCUAAUGUAUAAUUUUAUUUUAUUAAAACAUAUACAAUGUCUUUAUACUCUAGAAAAAUGAAUUGGAGAAAAGGGCAUUUGGUAAUUGAGAAAGGGUUGCACUCAAUCCCCAGUAACUUCUUUCCUGUGCCUCUUUGUGAACAACAUAAAUCUAUACAAAGAUAGGUGAUAGCUCAAAAGCAAGCAGGGUUGUUAAUAUUUUAAGAACAAUUCACCUCUGGUGAAUUAUUUUUUAAAUUUCACUUGUCCUAAGCAUCUGUUCAAAUAAUGUCAGAAAUUUUUACUAGAAAAAAAACGACUUAUUUUCUCUUCAUUUCUAAAACAUGAUUGGUUAAAACUAAGCAUGUUCAACUAAAUUUUAAAAACCAGGCUUAUAUUCUUUCAGUUGUAUGAAAAAGUGUUCUUUAACAACCUUGCUUGACAUUGUGUAAUUAGAGCAGUCUUCACCCCUAAAAGUGAUUAUGCUUUUGCUUAAUUUUGUUAGUUGAUUCAGUACUUCCAGAAAAUAGGCACAAAUUAGGAACUCAGUAGAUACUUCAUCCAUUUAUGGAGUAUUCACAAGGUCAUGACUUUUUUUUUUUUUUUUUGGUAUCAGGGAUUGAACUCAGGUGACUCAGCCACUGAGCCACACCCCCAGCCCUGUUUUGUAUUUUAUUUAGAGACAGGAUCUCACUGAGUUGCUUAGCACCUCACUUUUUGCUGAGGCUGGCUUUGAACUUGCAGUCCUCCUGACUCAGCUUCCCUAGCUGCUGGAAUUACAGGUGUAUGUCACCGCACCCAGCUGAUCAUGACAUUUUGACAUGUGAUUUAAAAGAUUGAUCUUCCUAUACAGUAUGUGCUUUUCUUGGAUUCCUAUUCUAAGUUUACAUGGAUAAUUCCAUUUAUUGUGUUAUGCCAUAUUGUUAGUACUGAUAGAGUUUUGUUUCUGUUCUUCUGAUUCUGUGCACAUAUUAAAAUAUUUAAAUUUUAAUUUCAGGUAUAUUAUAUUUUUUUGCCCUUGGGACCUUAUUUCCCAGGGCUAUUCAUUCUUACCUGUUCAACUUCUGGCUGCGGGAAUGAAGGAAGUGACCAGAACUUGGAAAAUAAUAGGUGGAAUCACACAUGCUAAUAGCUAUUACAAAAAUGGCUGGUUAGUCAUGAUAGCUAUUGGAUGGGCCCAAGGUAAUAUUAACAAUAUGUGUUCAUAGGUAUUCUCUUAUUGAUGUACCAUAAUUAUGGGGAUGGCAUACUUUUAUUAACAGUCUUUUUGGAGGUAGAAACUUUGUUUCUGUUGGCUAGCAAAAUUAUUUAAAAACUAGUACUUUUCACUAGUACUAGUUCAUCAGCCAUUAUUUUGAGCCUAACUGUUAUAUAAAACUUUUAUGAUUUUGAUUUCAUUUUUAUCUUUGAUUUAUGAACCAGAGACAUUUAUGUUAAUUAUUUUAACAUAAAUAAAACAAGUUUACUUAAGAAAUUAUGUAGCUCUUUCUGUGUUCUUUUCCUCCAAUUUGAAUUACUGGAAAUAGUAAAUAUGAUUGGUUAUAGAUUCAUGUUCAUGCAUCAGUUGCUUUUAUUGUUGCUUUCUGUAGGAAUUGAAUGAAUUUCUCUAAUAACUUGUUAUAGUAUACUGUACCUAAAACUAAUUAUAUCAGGAGAGUAAAUGGUAAAACAUAUGAUUUUAUUUUUUAGGUCUGAAACAAACCUCUAGCCAUACCUCUGUGCUUGAGACCCCAAAUUUAAGCUUAAGUGCAGUAAAAUAGACAAUUGCCGUGCUGGUGAAAGGGGAGAAUUGCAGAUGUUUCAGUAUCCUAAGCUUACAAAGCAAUUUUUUUCUUUCUUCCAAGAUUUCUGUUUGGGAAUCCUCUUGGAUUUUAAAUCAGGUGGUAGAAUUAUGGCUCUCCUCAAAUAUUCUUAAGAAAGUUACUAAAUAAUCUUGUUUAUUUUUUAAUUUUUAUUUUUAGGUGCAGGUGGUAUCAUUAUCACAAAUUUUGAACAGUUACUAAAAGGAGAUUGGAAACCAGAAGGUAAUGAAUGGCUGAAGAUGUCCUAGUAAGUUGGUAUAUAUUUUACUGAGAUCUGGAUUUUGUUCUUAGAUCUUUUUUUUUUUUUUUUUUAGUUGUAGUAUUGAACACAAUAUUUUUAUGUUAUUUGUUUACUUUUAUGUGGUUCUGAGGAUCGAACCCAGGGCCUCACACAUGCGAGGCAAGCACUUUGCCACUGAGCCACAGCCUCAGCCCCGUUCUUAGAUCUUUUUAACAACAUUUUUAGAACUCCCAAGUGUAAUGAAAUAUAGCUGAAAAAAUAAAUGGUAAUGACAAUGGAAAGAAAACCCCCCAAUUUUAUUCUUUCUAAAAGUUUUCUCUCUCAAAUGAAGUUUUAAAAUAAAUAUUGAUUCACUUCUCUGAGGAUUUAUCCCCUUAAAAAACAAAACAAAAUAAAACAAAACAAAACCCUUCAGAUUAUCAUAGAAUUAUGGGAAGAGUAUAUACUUAUGAAGAGAGAUCUACUUAGAGGCAGAGUUCUCUGGAUGGAAAUGAAUCAAUUAUAGGCUCUUGGCAUUUUCAUUAGUGAUUGCAUCGCACACAUUUCAGUUUAUACAUAGCUCUAGUAGUAAAAUGUCAAAAUUAAUGGGAAAAUAAAUUAGUACAUUAUCAUAAGAUCCUGAGAGUGGUUUUAAAAAUUACAGGUGAGUUUAAGUAUCAAAGUAAGAAAAAGAUUAGCAAAAAAACCCACUGUAUAUUUGUGUAAUGCAAACUGUAGGUCACAUCUGUUUAGAGAAAAGAAUCUAAUCAUUAGAUGUUUUCUAAAGACAACAACUCAAAUCUUAUAAAUAAGUCAUAGGUAUAUACUUGGUGCACCUGAAAAUGAAAUGGAAAAUAGAGUUAUUAUUCACACAGGUUGAGAAAGAGAAGACUUUAGGAAUAGUGGCCAUAAUAAGCUGCUCUUACUGUUGAUUUUUGUAAGCUCAUUUUCUAAUUAAUGGAUUAAAUAUAAAGAUCACAAGCAUUAUGAAUGAGGUAGUAUUUUUGAGUGAACCAAUAAAUUCCAGGAUAUUCAACUUGGAAAGUACCCUUUAAAGCUUAUAAGAGGUAGUUUGAACAUAAUAUAUUCCAAAGUAAAGCCUUAGAGAAUGGUGUAUAAAAUCAGUGUUUUAGAAUAAGUGGAACUGAAAACAGAAUCCAAAGCUAUUUUCUGAGGCUUUAUCCUAUCAGGUGCUAUGUAGACACUUCUAAAAACAUAUAUGUUAUCACUAAUACUCUCAAUAAACCUAAAAAGCAGGUAUUAUUUCUACUUCAUGGAUUAGAAAACUAAGGCUCAGAGAUAUUAGAAGACUUGCUUAUUGCUACCUAGGUAUUUAGAAUGUUUUUCUUUUCUUUCUUUCCUUUUUAAAUUGUGCAUUUCUUAAUUUUUUAAUUAAGCUAAAACUUUAUAUUGAGUAAACUGCAUCCAUUUAAAGAAUAUAAUUUUUGUUGAGUUUAAACAGAAAUAUAUAAUAAAGGAAUAGUGAUCACUAUCAAGAAUAUUUCCAUUAAUCCACAAAUUUCCUUUUGUCCCUUUGCAUUCCAUCUCUCCCUCCAUUCUUGAUUAUAGACAGAAAUCUGCUUUUUUUCCUAGAAUUUUAUGUAAAUGGAUUUUGUAUAUUCUUUUGGAUCUAACUUCUUUCUUUCAUCAUAGCAAUUUUGAGGUUCAACAUGUGGAUGAGCUGGUUUCUUCCUUUUUGUGCUAUAUUUUAUUUUAUGGAGCAAUCACAUUUUAUUUUAUCUGUUGAUGGACAUUUGGGUUGAUUCCAGUUUCGACCAUUGUGAGCAAAAGUUCCUUCAACAUUUGUAUGUGAAUCAUUGUGUGAACACAUUCUCAUUUUAUUUAUGUAAACAUAUUAGGGAAUGGCUGAGUUGUAUAUUAGGUGUACAUUUAACUUUUUAAAAACCAUUGCCCAUUUUCCCAAAGUGUCUUAAGAGUUCUAGUUGCUCCAUAUUAUUGCCAAGCCUUGGGAUUGUCAGUCUUUUUAUUUUUAGAAAUUAUAGUGAGUACAUUUCUCAUUGUGAUUUUAGUUAGUAUUUCCCUGUGGACUAUGUUGAACAUCUUUUCAUAUGCUUAUUGGCCAUUUUAUGUCUGUUUUGAGAAGUAUCUGUAUAUACCUUUUCCUACUGUUAUGAUUAGAUUGUUUGUCUUAUUAUAUUUUUUAAUUUUUUGUUUGUUUGUUUCUGGACCUUUAUUUUAUUUAUUUAUUUUUAUGUGGUGUUAAGGAUCAAACCCAGUACCUCACUAGUGCUAGGCUAGUGGUCUACCACUGAACUACAAUCCCAGCCCUUGUUAUAUUCUUUAUAUAUUCUGAAUACCAUUUCUUUUUUUAAUUCUAAUUUGUUAUGUAUGACAGCAGUAUGCAUUAUAAUUCAUAUUACACAUAAAAUGCCAUUUCUUUGAUGUGUGUUUGUAGACUUUUGGUACAGAUCAAUUUAUCAAUUUUUUAAUACUUUCAUAUUCUGAGUUGUCUUUGCCUAUCCAGAAUUGCAAAGUUAUUAUUCUAAUAGUUUCAAGAAAUUUCUACUCUUAGCUUUUAUAGUUAAGUCUAUGAUCUAUUUCAAGUUUAAUUUUUGUAUAAAUAGUAUUGUGUAGGAUUUGAUAUUUAUUUUUCCCUUCUAUAUGCAGUUGUUUUGGCACCAUUUCUUGGGAAGACUUUCCUUUUGCCCAUUUAGUGCCUUGUUAACCCUUGUUUUUUUAUCCCCCAUAAUCAAGUGAUCACAUAUUUGUGGCUCUGUUUCUGGACUUUCUUCUGUUUUACUGAUGUAAAAGUCCCCUAAUGCCCAAACCCCACUAUGGUAUGGGAGUUUUCAGUUUUAAUGUCUUUUGGAACCUAUAUGCUGUUUUCCAUACUUUGUUAUACUAGUUUUAAUUCCUUCUAUAGUGUGAAAGGUUCCAUUUUCUUCAUACCUUUAUCAGCAUUUCUUGUGUUUUGUCUUUUUGAUAAUAGCUACCCUCAUGGGUGUGAGUUGGUAUCUCACAGUAGUUUAAUUUGCAUUUCAUUGAUGAUUAGUAAUGUUGGCUAUUUUUAUGUCCUUUGGAGAAAUAUUAAGUUCCUUUGCUUCCUUUUUAAACCUGGUUAUAUAUUUUCUUGCUGUUAGAUUGUAUGGUUUCUUAAUAAAUUUUGGAUAUUAACCAUGUAUCAUAUACUAGGUUUAAAUAUUCUCCUAGUCUGUGGUUUGCCCUUUCACUUUAUUAUUUAUUUAUUUAUUUAUUUAUUUUAAAGAGAGAGUGUGAGAGAGAGAGUGAGAGAGAGAGAGAAUUUUUUUUAAUAUUUAUAUUUUUUUAGUUUUCGGUGGGCACAACAUCUUUGUUUGUAUGUGGUGUUGAGGAUCGAACCCGGGCCACACGCAUGCCAGGCGAGUGCGCUACCGCUUGAGCCACAUCCCUAGCCAUGCCCUUUCACUUUAUUGGUUGUUUCCUUUGUUGCACAGAAGCGUUUUUAACUUGAUAGAGUCCUGUUUAUUUAUUUGUUUUUGCUUUUGUAGCUUGAGAUUUUGAUAUGGUAUUCAAAAAGUCAUUCCAAGGCAGUGGCAUACUCUCAGCCUAUACAGGUUGCAUGACAAAAUUAGAUUCAUGUUACCAAAGUAAUUCUUAGAAAAGUGAAGCAGGAGGCAUCACAGUACCGGACCUUAAAUUAUAACUCAGAGUGAUAGUAAUAAAACUGGCAUGGUAUUGGCACCAAAACCAAUGGUACAGAAUAGAAGACAAAGAGAAACCCAUGUAAAUACAGUUAUUUUAUACUGGACAAAGGCUCCAUAAACAUGCUUUGGAGAAAAGAUAGCCUCUUCAACAAAUGGUGCUGGGAAAACUGGAUAUCUAUGUGUAUCAAAAUGAAACUAAACCCCUCUCUCUGACCCUGCACAAAACUCAACUCAGAGUGUAUCAAGGACUUAUGCAUUAGAUCAGAGACCCUGCAGCUACUAGAAGAAGAUAAAGUAGGUCCAGAUGUCUACCAUGUUGGCCUCAGAACUGAAUUCCUCAACAAAACUUUUAAAGAGUAAAAAGUAAAAUCAAGAAUCAAUAAAUGGGUUGGUAUCAAACUAAAAAGCUUCUUCACAGCAAGGAAACAAUCAAGAAUGUGAAGAGAGAGCCUAAGGAAUGGGGGUAAGUCUUUGCCACCUUCACCUAAAUAGAACAUUAAUCUCUAGGAUAUACAAAAAACAAAAAACAAAACAAAACAAAAAAACCCCCCCAAAACAAAAAACUUAACACUGUAAAAAGAAAUAACCCAGUCAAUAAAUGGACAAAGGAACUGAACAGGUACUUCACAGAAGAAAUAUGAUCAAGCCAACAAAUAUAUGGAAAAAUGUUCAGCUUUUCUAGCAAUUAGAGAAAUGCAAAUUAAAACUACACUGAGAUUUCAUCUCACUUCAGUCAGAAUGGCAUUUAUCAAGAGUACAAGUAACAAUAAAUAUUGGGGAGGAAGUGGGGAAAAAUGUACACUCAUACAUUGCUGGUGGAACUGCAGAUUGGUACAACCACUCUGGAAAGCAGUAUGGAGAUACUUCAGAAAGCUUGGAAUGGAACUACCAUUUGACCCAGUUAUCCCACUCCUUGGCAUAUACCCAAAGGACUUACAAUCAGCAUACUAUAUAUAUAUAUAUAUAUAUAUAUAUAUAUAUAUAUAUAUAUAUAUAUAUAUAUGAAUGUUUAUAGCAGCUCAGUUCACAAUAGCUAAGCUAUGGAACCAACCUAGGUGCCCUUCAACAAAUGAAUGGAUAAAGAAUGUGGUAUAUAUACACAAUGGAAUAAAUGGAAUAUUACUCAGCUAUAAAGAAGAAUGAAAUUAUGGCAUUUUUCCAUAAGAGAUGGAACUGAAAUCUAUCAUGCAAGCAACAUAAGCCAGUCCCUAAAAACCAAAGGCUGAAUGUUCUCUUUGAUAUGCGCAUGCUAACACGAAGGGAAUAGGAAGGACAGUAGGAUAUAUCAGACAUAACUUUCCUAACUUCAUAUGUGAAUACAUGAUCACUGUAACUCCACAACCACAGGAAUGGGAAAUAUACUCCAUGUGUCUAUAAUAUGUCAAAAUACAGUCCACUAUUGUGUAUAUCUAAAAAGAACAAAUAAAAUAUUUAAAAACUUAGAUUCAUGCUUAGGAAGAUUUUCUCUAGUAAGAAAAAAUUUUUUCUCUGGUCAAGGGUUUAAUUGGACAGUCUUUUACUAGUGUUGAAGGGAUUAGGCAUGUGAUUCAUGGGUAAAUUUCAGCCAUCAUAGCCGAAGCCCAGGAAUAGAGAGGAGAUUAUUCAAGAAAGAUUUGUGGAGGAAGGAUUCGCUUGACUAAUGGCAUGGAUCCCAGGAAACCCAGAGAGUGUUAGAAAUGUUCAAUUAGCAGAUAUACUGCCAGCUUGGACUGCAAGAACAGAGACAGGAUGAAAUGAAAGAAGAUUAUCAAACUCAUGGAAUUCCUUAGGUGAAAAAUAGGCUGAUAAAACUGCGCAGCUACAGAAGUGUGCUGCCCUCUAAAGGAAAAGGAAUAAUGACUUCAUGGUGGGGACUGUGCCCCAGAGGCCUGAGUCUAGCCCUACAGUCUGGAGUCAGAGGUGCAGAAACCAAAGACAUGAGUGUAGAGAUUAGAGCUGCAGAUUCAGGACAGUGUAUCCAGCCAUAGAGGAUUAUCCCCAAGCCUUGAAACCUAAUGGAAUUGCCCUGCUGAAUUUUGAAAUUGCUUGGUACCAAUGAUAUAUUUAUUUUAUUCUCUUCCUUUUGGAAUGAGAAUGUCUGUAACUAUUACCCAGUACCUGUUCCACCAUUGUGGAACUAGAAAACUUGUUUUUAGUUUUACAGGAAAUUAAUAUAUAUUACAAUUUUCUAAUACAUCCUGAGUUUCCUGACAAAUCUCAUACUUUGAUUUAAAAUGGAAUUUCCCCUAAUUCUAACCCUUCUCCAGUGUCCUGCUCCAGUUUAGUAUCUAUAAAAUCAUUAUUCUUCAAAUUCAACCUUCAAGAGAAUGUAAUCCAAAAUGGAAGAUGUGUAUGCCAAGGCCAUACCUGUAAUGACCCACUUUGGUACAGAAACCAAAUUAGUAGAAAUGAAUAGUUGAAAAAUAACUUGAAGACAAAUCUCAUUUCAUUUGUUUUUAUCUUAUCCUUUUAGAAUUUCAGUUUUAUGUACAGUUUAUAAUAAAAUUAUGUAUGUAUGCAUACUUUUAUAAAUUAAGAAACAUAUUAGGGAACAUCUAAAACAUAAAGACCUAUAGGGAUAUAAAAUAAAAACUUAGAGAUCACUGUUUUAAAAUAUGUUACUCAGUAUAUUGGUAAGUGAAUUCCAAAUCCUGUUGCCUAAACUUACUCCUAUUUUGAACUUAAUCUUUAGUGUAUAAUAAUUAAAUAACCUAUUUAAAAAAAUAAAGUGACUUAUAGGGAUCUUUAAAUUUGUCAUGUUGCAAUAUGGCAUUCUGAGAGCGUAUCAUUUAUCUUUAUGGUAAGCAUAGAGAAGCUAGAUAAUGAUCUAUUACUGAGGUAUACUUUAAAUAAUGUGGCGGGUAUAUAAUAUCAAAGUAAUGUUGCUUAUUUGAUCCAUUAGUAACUCAUUGUAGACUUACAGUUUCAGCAUUAAGAUAUUAGCAAAAGCUAAUAUGAUGUGUUGGAGUUGGCUCAUAUUGUUUUAUGGAGCCAGUUGUGUAUAUCUCUUUUUCAUUGCAUGCAGCAGCCUGAAAUUAGCUAUGUGGGAGUAUGUACAUCAUGGAAAUAGGCAAACACUACAAAUUGGGGGUGAAUUUCCCUCCUCUCACCGUCUCCUCUCCUACUGCCACAUCCCUCAGCUUGUUUAGCACUGAAGGUUUUUCAAUACUAAUUCCAAAUCAUGCUAUGAAACAUGAGACUUUCAGCUCCUUUUUGGAACAAUGUUAUAUGUUCAAAGUAUGUUUUAGAAAUGUUGCAUUAUGGAAAUAUACUCACCUUUUAGAAAGCCAUGACGUACAUAGACAUUUCUGAAAUCUUUGAUACUUUAUACUGUGAAGAAAGGUAUUUAAUUUUGUAUGACUUAGCAUUUCCAGAACUCUUAAGUAAAUUCACAAAUCUCAUUUUGUGUUAAUAUCUGUUAGUAGCUCAUUAAAAAAUGUUGUACAGGGGCUGGGGAUGUGGCUCAAGUGGUAGUGUGCUCGCCUGGCAUGCGUGCGGCCUGGGUUUGAUCCUCAGCACCACAUACAAACAAAGAUGUUGUGUCCGCCGAAAACUAAAAAAUAAAUAUUUAAAAAGAAAUGUUGUACAGUGUACUCUUUGAGAAAGAUAUAGUUUAUUAAUUUUCUAUGAUUACAUUUUUAUUAACUACUGUCUUAAAAUAUGUUUUAUUUUCAGCCCUUCCAAGGUAACCCUGCUGGGGUCCCUUAUCUUCACAUUUCAGCACACCAAGCAUCUGACCAUAUCAAAGCAUAAUCUUAUGUUCCUUUAUACCAUCUUUCUUGUGACCACAAAGGUAAGAGUUCUAGGUAUCUGUAAAUUAGUAUUAC
rnacentral:lncRNA from 1 species